rnacentral:rRNA from 1 species
UGGAGGCGUGCCUAACACAUGCAAGUCGAACGAAGAGGCUCCUUCGGGAGUACUUCAGUGGCGGACGGGUGAGUAACACGUAGGUGACCUACCCCAAAGCGGGGAAUAACAGUCCGAAAGGAUUGCUAAUACCCCAUGUGGUCAACGAGUUCAGAGGCUUGUUGACUAAAGGAGCAAUCCGUUUUGGGAGGGGCCUGCGCCCCAUCAGCUAGUUGGUAGGGUAAUGGCCUACCAAGGCUACAACGGGUAGGGGGCCUGAGAGGGUGACCCCCCACAUUGGCACUGACACACGGGCCAAACUCCUACGGGAGGCAGCAGUGAGGAAUAUUGCUCAAUGGGCGAAAGCCUGAAGCAGCAACGCCGCGUGCGCGAUGAAGGUCUUCGGAUCGUAAAGCGCUUUUGAGAGGGACGAGAUAGGACGGUACCUCUUGAAUAAGUCACGGCUAACUACGUGCCAGCAGCCGCGGUAAAACGUAGGUGGCAAGCGUUAUCCGGAUUCACUGGGCGUAAAGCGAGUGCAGGUGGUUGCGUAAGUUGGAUGUGAAAUUUCCCGGCUUAACCGGGAAGGGUCAUUCAAUACUGCGCGACUUGAGGGCAGAAGAGGGGGGUGGAAUUGCCGGUGUAGUGGUGAAAUGCGUAGAUAUCGGCAGGAACACCUGUGGCGAAAGCGGCCCCCUGGUCUGCUCCUGACACUCAGACUCGAAAGCUAGGGUAGCGAACGGGAUUAGAAACCCCGGUAGUCCUAGCCGUAAACGAUGGAUGCUAGGUGUGGGUGGUAUUGACCCCAUCCGUGCCGAA